CAUUACCACGUUCACGUCAAGCAGACUGGCAACAGCCCAGACUGGUCUAGCUUGAGUCAAAAAUCCUUCAAACAAGUUCAGCCUGCGAGGGAACCAUCUUUUUUGUUCUUCUGUGUCAUCCUCACAGUGGUUGACUUGUGGUCAGGCUGCCUGUUCUUAAGCCUACUUUGGCCUUGCCUGGACUACACAGCCUGAAGAAGAGAUAAACCCAGUGGUAGACCAAGAUUCACCACUAACCAGCCAUCUUAGAGCUCUGGUGAAGUACAUCACAGACUAGUGCAUUCUGCGUGGGGACAGCUUAAGAUCUCAAGGUCCCGCUGCUGGCAGAGCAUUCCAGCCUGGCAAGAGCUCAAGGUCCUUUCCACUGUUCGCUGUGCACCAUCCCAGUCUCUCGAGAGUUCAAGGUGCCUUCAGAUACUGGUGUACUAAUACUCCCCAAAACCUUCACUCACUCAGCCUGUGCACAAACCAAGCUCCUAAGUGACUCAGACCUCGCACUCUUGUGACAUCUGUCUCUGGCCCAGCUAAGGUCAAUCUACCCCAUCAGCAGCAGCAAUUGCCACCAUGAUUGGUGAGAUCUGUGCUGCAGCGGCCUUCAUCUGCANGUUCCUCUUCACUAAGGGCCUCAGGAAUGAGCAGCUGCUGCAGACCUUCAGCCAGAGCCUGCAGGAGCUGCUGGUAGAACACUACAAACAUCACUGGUUCCCAGAGCAGCCCUGCAAGGGAUCGGGUUACAGGUGUAUUCGCAUCAACCAUAAGAUGGAUCCUCUGGUCGGUCAGGCUGCCCAGCAGAUUGGACUGAGCAGUAAAGAGUUGUUCAGGCUUCUCCCAAGUGAACUCACACUGUGGGUUGACCCCUAUGAAGUAUCCUACAGGAUUGGAGAGGAUGGCUCCAUCUGUGUGCUGUAUGAAACCUCACCAGUGGGAGGUAGCUCUUACAACAGCACCAAUGCACAAACAGUAGAUAGCAGAAGCUGUUGCAAGGAGGAACCUCCUUUGGGCAGAACAAACCCUUCUAAAAACUACAAUAUGAUGACUGCAUCAGUUUAAGAUAUAGUAUACAAUGGAUCAUCUUAUAAUGGAUGGAUGAAUUUGACUUUUUGCUUCGGGUGGGCUCCUCUUGGGGAUGGAUUAUUGAAUUUAAUCCGUGUCACAGCUGUGAAAACCUGGCAUGAGAUAGUGUUGAUAUUUUUAAGUG